UAAAAGACCUGUGGACCAGCAUUGGGUUUGGUCAGAAGGUGAUUGUUGAAUGAGCAAGAACUCUACCAGUGGAGAGUGGGGCUAGAAGCGAGAUUAUAAUGAAAUAAGGGAGUAGAUGUGCAGGAUAAAGUAUUAGUUUUAGAUAAUGAGUUUGGAGAGGAGAUAAAAUAGCUGGAGGGUGUAUUAGUAGCGUAAGGGUGCAGAGUAGGGUUUUUUAAUGAUAGGAGGAUCUUGUACUUUCUAAAAAUACCUUUUGGGCUGGGCUGUUAAGAAAUAAGUAGUUAUGAUCUAAAUUGCAUUUAUGAACUGCCAUCAAAUAUAAUGUUGAUUCAUAGGUCAGUCUGACAUGUCCAUGCCUUCCCACAGCCUUCCCUGAACUGGACACAAGCGAUCCCUUCCCAAAGUGCCUUUGCUUUGGUGUUUGCUUCUCUGAGUGGAUGCACCACCGUUAUGGUCUUGUUAGGGUUCUUCUAGCCCAACCUCUUAUUGUACAGUUUGAAAUCGCAGGGUGGCAUAGCUAUACCCGCUGUCAGGACUCAGGCCUCGUUUUGGGUCAGUCCUGCAUUCUCCACUCCGUGAGGAAAGGAAGCAGUGGGUGCAGGCAGAGUGAUCUAGCCUAAGAUUCAGAUAUCCUUUCGUUCGAAGCUAAUUACUUCCCAGCUCUGUGUCCCGGGCCAAGUUAUUUGACCUUUCUAAAGCCACCCACGGUUUUCUGUAAAACACCUGGGAUAACGUCUACGGUUCUCAAUAUAUAUAGUUGUCAUAAAAAAAAAAAAAAAUUGAGGUUGGACUUCUCUACUAGUCUAUGAACCCCGUGGGGAUGCCGAAUAACACUGACCUAGCGGACCCAGGCGGAGGCGAACCCUGGCCUCCAGCCCUUCGUCCCCACCGCGCUCACUGUUUCGGGGUCGGAGCCUAACCUGACGUGGCGAGGCGGGACUUCCGGCAGGAGGCGGAAGUGGAGCCGGCGGCGCGGGCUUGCAGCUGCGGCUGACAACGGUGGUAGCCCGGGCUCGACGAGCGAUCUGGGAGGCAAGGCAGGACCGGCUCUCCGCUCCCGCCACUCCGAGCCCCUGCGACGCCGACCUCCGUUCCGAGAUGACUCGGGGUGAGCGACGGCGCCGCGCAGCGCCGGAGGGAGUGCGGACAGCCGAGAGGGCUGCUCGGAGCGGCCGCGCACAACAGGGCGGAGGGAUCCAAGGCACCGCUAGAGGGGCGGUUCUGGCCGUGGUGGUCUUGUCGCUGGUCCUGGGCCUGUCGGGGCCCUGGCUGCUGGCGUGGCAUCGUGCACGGCGAGCAGUCACGCUGCACUCCGCGCCCCCGGCGCUGCCCCCCAACUCCUCCAGUCCCGCCGUGGCCCCAGACCUCUUCUGGGGUACCUACCGCCCCCACGUCUACUUCGGCAUGAAGACCCGCAGCCCGCAGCCCCUUCUUACCGGACUGAUGUGGGCGCAGCAGGGUGCCAUCCCAGGGGCCCCAAAGCUCAGGCACACGUGUGAGCAGGGAGACGGCGUGGGUCCCUAUGGCUGGGAGUUUCACGACGGCCUCUCCUUCGGGCGCCAGCAUAUUCAAGAUGGGGCCUUAAAACUCACCACUGAGUUCGUCAAGAGGCCUGGGGGACAGCAUGGAGGGGACUGGAGCUGGAGAGUGACUGUGGAGCCUCAGUCUUCAGCUACCUCUGCUCUCCCUUUGGUCUCCCUGUUCUUCUAUGUGGUGACAGAUGGCAAGGAAGCCCUAGUGCCAGAAGUUGGGGCCAAGGGGCAAUUGAAGUUCAUCAGUGGCCAUACCAGUGAACUUGGUGAUUUCCGCCUUACACUUCUGCCACCAACCAAUCCAGUGGAUACUGCCCCCAAGUAUGGCAGCUACAACGUCUUCUGGUCCUCCAACCCAGGACUGCCACUGCUGACAGAGAUGGUGAAGAGUCGCUUGAAUAGCUGGUUUCAGCACCAGCCCCCAGGGGCCUCCCCUGAACGCUAUCUUGGCUUGCCAAGGUCUCUGAAGUGGGAGGACAGAGGCCCAAAUGGGCAAGGACAGGGACAAGGGCAAUUCUUGAUACAGCAGGUGACACUGAAAGUCCCCUUUUCUGUGGAGCUGGUGUUUGAAUCAGGUAGUGCCCGGAUGGGAAGAAGCCAAGCCCUGGAGCAGCUAGCAGGCAGCCUGCUGACUCAGGCCCUGGAGAGCCAUGCUGAAGCCUUUAGAGAGCGUUUUGAGAAGACCUUCCAGCUGAAGAAGAAGGGCCUGAGCCCAGAAGAGCAGGCUUUGGGCCGGAUUGCCCUCAGUGGCCUCCUUGGUGGGAUCGGCUACUUCUACGGACAAGGUCUGGUGUUACCAGACAUGGGGGUAGAGGAGUCUGAGCAGAAGGCAGACCCAUCCCUCUUUCCCCCUGUCCCGCUUUUCACAGCGGUGCCUUCCCGGUCAUUCUUCCCACGAGGCUUCCUUUGGGACGAGGGCUUUCACCAGUUGGUGGUCCAGCGCUGGGACCCCCGCCUCACCCGAGAGGCCCUAGGCCACUGGCUGGGGCUGCUCAAUGCUGAUGGCUGGAUUGGACGGGAGCAGGUGCUGGGGGAUGAGGCCCGCGCUCGGGUGCCCCCGGAAUUCCUGGUGCAGCGGGCAGCGCAUGCCAACCCCCCAACCCUGCUUUUGCCUGUAGCUCACAUGUUAGAGGCUGGUGACCCUGCUGACUUGGCCUUCCUCCGCAGGGCCUUCCCCCGCCUGCUUGCCUGGUUCUCCUGGCUCCAUCAGAGCCAGGCAGGGCCAGUACCACUAUCAUACCGUUGGCGGGGCCGGGAUCCAGCUUUGCCACACCUGCUGAACCCCAAGACACUGUCCUCAGGGCUGGAUGACUACCCCCGGGCCUCACACCCUUCAGCUGCCGAGCGGCACCUGGAUCUGCGGUGUUGGGUGGCACUGGGUGCCCGUGUGCUGGUACGGCUGGCAGAGCAGUUGGGGGAGGCUGAGGCAGCUGCCGACCUGAGCCCACUGGCCACCUCCCUAGAGGCAGAGGCAAGCCUGGAUAAGCUGCACUGGGCCCCAGAGCUAGGGGUUUUUGCAGACUUCGGGAACCACACAAAAGCAGUGCAGCUAAAGCCUAGGCCCCCUCAGGGGCUGGUGCGGGUGGUGGGCCGGACCCCACCUCGAAUGCAGUAUGUGGAUGCUCUGGGCUAUGUCAGUCUUUUUCCUUUUUUGCUGAGGCUGCUGAGCCCCAGCUCGUCCCACCUUGGGCCCUUGCUGGACGUUCUAGCUGACAGCCGCCAUCUCUGGAGCCCAUUUGGUUUGCGCUCCCUCGCAGCCUCCAGCUCCUUUUAUGGCCAGCGCAAUACCGAGCAUGAUCCUCCUUACUGGCGGGGUGCUGUGUGGGUCAAUCUCAACUACCUGGCCUUGGGGGCACUCCACCACUAUGGACACCUGGAGGGUCCCCACCAGGCCCGAGCUGCCAAGCUCUACAGUGAGCUCCGUGCCAAUGUAGUGGGCAAUGUGUGGCGGCAAUACCAGGCCACAGGCUUCCUAUGGGAGCAGUAUAGUGACCGAGAUGGGCGAGGCAUGGGCUGCCGCCCUUUCCAAGGCUGGACCAGCCUUGUCCUUUUGGCCAUGGCUGAUGACUACUGAGAGGGAAGGAUGGGAGGGGAGACAGGCCCCUUGUACCCCUCUGGACCUGGAGAGACAAGGUCUCUGACUUCUGCCCCCCAGCCCCUCAGAUACCCUCAGCUCAUCUCAGGUGUGUCCUCACUGUCAUCCCACACAGCCCUGGGAUGAAUGUGAAUUUCAGAGUCUAUUUUUCUAAAUAAACUGGAAAAACAUGCCAAACACUUGCUUUUGCCAGCUUUGCCUCACCAAGAGGUCUUAGCUGCCUAUUGUCCUCAAGGAAGGUGGGACAAGUAGCUAUAAUAUAUCCCCUCCAAAUCCAGUCAGAUCAAGUACAGUGUAGCAAAUUGUACUUAGUCCACCCAAAUCCACAAGUGGCUGGUUCACAUCUCUUUAAUGAGAUCAAAGGCUCCUGUGUAUGUCUUGUGGGGUGGAGUUAGCACAGUCCCCUCUCUCCUCAGGGCUCCGGCCUCUUCAGGCAGAUUCUAGGAGGGCAGGUAGGGGGUCAAGGAGAACUCAAGGAGUUGGGACCAGGGCUGUUUCUGGUAAGCAAGUAAGUCACCAGCCCAAAACUACUUAUGGGAUGUCCCCUUCACUGGAAGCCAGCCCCACAGGGGAGACCUGGAGUACAGACUCUGGGGGCAGGGCACAAGGGGAGUGGUCCUCCAGAUCUGGAAGGGUGGCACUAGCUCUCGCUUCCUUGACUGGUUCAUUGGAGUCAGGACAGGGGCAGAGCUCGAUGCCAGAGUCACCAGUCAGGCGGCGAUAGCGGCAGGAAGCGGGUGUGAAGGCAGAAUUCACCGCUACCCCUGGCUCACCCUCCUGAUGAGGGGCAUGCUGGUGGGAGGCAACACCUUCCAUGUUUGUUCCCUCACGGUGGGCAGGGCAGCUAGAGGUGGAGGAGCAGCAGGGGCAUUCAGUGGAAGCAGUCAAGGAGCAGCCUGGGACCACAGUGUAAGGAGGUGGUGGUGUGCCUGGGCGUUGAACCACAUCCUCGUAGGCUGGGGGUUUGAAGGCGCUGAGGAGGCCUGCAGGGGAGAGAAUGGCACAGUUGACUGGUUGGAGGUGACCAGGACUGAGUGGUCUCUUUCCUAUGAGGGAACAGGGUGCCUUGCGAUGUCUGGGAAAGGGAAUGUGGGCAUGAUUCUGGCUCCUGGUUUGGGAGGGACCAUGGUAGUCAGCCCAGAGCUUCAAAUCACUCACGAAGGUCAAGCAGUGAACCCGUAGGGACAGGGCCGGCCCCGUGGCAUGCCCCAUGGUAGGCCAACAAGUUGAUCUCACGCUGCCGCUGCUGCUGCUGUAGCCGGAGUUUAGCUCGUCGGUGGCGGAAGGCGCAACAGCAGCUGAAGAGGAUGAGGACAGUCCAGAGCAGCCAGAACCCUGCAGGAGGUGAGGAGGGGGUGUCUCAGAUGCCUCCCAGGCAGAGAAGGGUCCUUCAAGGCUGGAAUUCUGUAGUCCAAGGGAGGAUGGGUAGAGGGACCUGAGGAUAGUCCCUUGGAGACUCACACCAGAGCUCAUAGUAGUAGGUGCAGCAGCCGGUCUCCCCACAGCAGUGACCGCUCUCACAGAGGUAGGGCUGGUUGUUCACUCCUGGACACAGCUCUCGAAGCUGGGGACAAGGAGGCACUUCAUACCACGGAUGAUUCCAGCCCAAGGCACUGUUCACACCCCCAGCCCCCCACAUGCACACACACAAUCCCACCCUGGGAACCAAAUUUAGCUUGGAGAGGCCUAUGACGGGAUGGGGAAAGGGUGCUGAGAAGUUUUCAAAUAUUCAAAGGGCUGUCAACGUGGAAGAGGGUUUGGAAUAGCAAGAAUCAGUCUAGAGAACAUGAAGCAAAGUGUGGACAGAAAGAGGAAGAUUUCAGCUCUCAUACACAAGAUUUCUCUCACUGGUAAAGCUGGUUCCCCAGAUGCUUUCUGUUAAAGGAGUGUCUUGGCAGGAGCCAUCAGACAUGGUCUCAGAUAACGGGUAAGGGGUUUCAGGUCACUUCUAAAGCUGCUUUCAUUACCCUCCAUGGUCCAUCCCCCACCCAAGCUGGAUCUUUCCACUCCUGGGUCUCAGGCUCCCUAGGGUAGAGAAGGGGCAGUGUGAGACCCAGAGCAGUGCUCCCAACAGAGGGGAUUGCUGUGGAUACUAAAGGAUGACAUCCAGGGCGCCGAGUUUGGGUUCCAGCUCUUCUCCAAAUUGCUCCCUCAAGAGAAGACGCUGCCGGACUCUGUUGUGACAAUAGGCACACAGAAAAACAUCACAACUGUUACAAGACACUGGGGGCCUCGCUAUGCCUCUGGCCACUGGAGAGCCGCUGCAAACUUCCACUACAGCCAUGGGAUGGGGUCUAUGAGGCUGCAGGCAAAGUCAACUGCAUCUGCGUUACAAAGUUUAGACAAAGAAUGGAAGGGGCAUGUUCAGGAACGCCACAGAAUCUUUGGCUCCGUGAGUUCCUCCCCCACCCCCCAAAAGGAAGGGACAAGGAAAGAGGAAAGAAAUACAAAUGGCUGUCGCGACAGGCUUUUGGAGCUUUGGGAUACCUGCUGUUGCGGCGCCCGAAGUGCCCCCCACGCCUCCUCGCUGCCGUUUGCGCUGCUGGCCCGAGCCAUUCCUCCACCUACAGCCCCCCAAAGACCUGAGUCUCCUCUACCGCCAGCCGCCCCGCCCCUGCCACCUCUGCCGCCACCACCAUGGUCCCUGCCCGGCCCAUCUUCGCUGCCGCCACCAUCACUCCGCGACCGUAGCCUCCAUCCGGGGAGAGCUCUGCCAACUAGGGCCCAGAUUGCUCUGUCCUACCAAUCAACAUCGCGCUUCAAGGGACGGGCCAAUAGGAACAGAUCGGGGGUUUCUCCCUGUGACCAAUCUAGAGCACCGCCUCUGCCACUCGUCCAGACAACAAGAGCUUGCACAGACAAAGAGUGGGGGAAGGUUCGACCCACGGCGCUGACUGACAGCAAUAAUAGCCAAUAGCGGGUAACAGGGCGGGCUCCGUCUUAUCAUCCAAUGAACGGUCGACCAGAAGAUCAACUUUCCCCCGAUUGGCUUGGGCCAUAUUUUCGAGAUGACGCCAAACUCCGUACUACGCCAGGUAAUCCCCACUGGAAGAGGCCGGGGGCUGUCUGGUCGGUCUUCCUGCGGCCGUUUUCAGGCCACAGGUGUCUGCGCAAGCUGCAGCGGGGGCAAGAGUCCCCUGGAGACUCAGAGGACUGAGAAAGUUGCUUGAUCGCCUCGCGCUUACCUGGCUCAGGGGCCUCCAUAGCCCCAGAGGUGCUUCCGCGCCGCCACAGCUUACUCAUGGGAUCCUGCAAAGAAAGGGGACUGGAAAGGUUCGGGACAUAUGCAGACAUGCCUUUUCCGCCCCGCGGAAGACCAGGCUCCAGCAAAAUAAACGGCUAUUUCCGCGUCGUGGCGGCCAUACUUGUGCAGGGCACGCUUUGCAGUCAAAAUCCGUCCGAGAAACAACCAUUCUUUCCAACAAUAGUUCCGGGACCUGUGAGGUCCGGACAACCCAAAGGGGCGUGUUUUUCCCCUCGCCCCGCCUCUGCUACUUCAAGAACACAGCGCGGGCGGUUCAAUUAUUACACUCAAGCUUAGUGAGCGCGUACUCCGGGCCAGGCACCGUGCUGGGCUGUGAGGAUACGAAGAUGAAUAUGAACACUCCCGCUGCCCUUGAUGAGUUCACAGUUCCGUGGAGGAAUACAUAGGAAACUCUAUAGCUGAGAAAAUGGCGGAAGCGCUUAACGGCACUAGUGACAGACCCUAGAAGUCUAAAUGCUCAUCAGUAGGGAAAGGGUACACGUAUAGAAUUUGAAACACCGUGGAGCUUCCAAGAUGAAUUAUGGUGCAUCUAUAAAUUUGAAACACCAUGGAGCUUCCAAGAAUUAAGAGUGAUAAGUAAUUGAUAAGAACUGACAUGGAAUUUAGAUCCCAAGGGAUAAUAGCAGUGGAAAAAAUCUAAGUGUCUUUCUGCUGGGGUAUAAUUACAUAAAUUUUGGUACGUCUAUACAAUGGGAAGCUAUGCAGCUAUUAAAAUCAAUGAGGCUGCAGACGGUUAUCCAAGAAACUGGUGACAACAGUUGCCAAUAGGUGGCUGGGGAACAUGGGUGGAGACUUACUUUCAUAAUGUACCCUUUUGUGCCUAUUGAACUUUGUAUAAAACGUGUAUAUUUUACCUAAUCAAAAAAAAAAAAAGAAAGAA